UACGGGGGGAGCAAGCGUUGUUCGGAUUUACUGGGCGUAAAGGGCGCGUAGGCGGCCAGCACAAGUCAGUUGUGAAAUCUCCGAGCUUAACUCGGAAAGGUCAACUGAUACUGUGCGGCUAGAGUGCGGAAGGGGCAACUGGAAUUCUUGGUGUAGCGGUGAAAUGUGUAGAGAUCGGGAGGAACACCGGUGGCGAAGGCGGGUCUCUGGGCAAUUCCUGACGCUGAGGCGCGAAAGCGUGGGGAGCAAACGGG
rnacentral:rRNA from 1 species